AGCGAUUUGCGAACUCAUACAGAGGAAUCUCCUUUAAAUCGCUCUCGCGGUACUUUGACGUCAUCCGGCUGAAGGUUCUUACGGCGCCGCAUGAAGUCGAACAAGCUUAAUGUUUAUUUUCAAACAACACACGUGACAGACGUGACUAAACCUGAUUGGUUGUUGUCAUAGUAACACGUCACGGUGCUAUUUGAAAGCUGUUGUUGUUCAGUUCAGUUCACGAGGUGCAUGCGGUUGCUUGCAUUAAACGUAUAAACUGUUAAAUUAGAUGGCGACUCUGCAUUAAACGUAUUUAUUUAAUUAAUCGGCAAUCAUGUUUCACCAGAGGACUUAGAUAAAACAACUCGAUUUAAAAUGUGAGCAGUUUUAGUGCAUCUGACGUCGCUUUUUGUUUGGAGAUGAACGAGACAACACGAGGCACAGCGACAUAAAUAUGCCCAACCAGAGCCAAGUAGACGGGAACAAAUGAAGAUACAGCGCAUGGAAAUACUUAUUAUUGGUGUUCAACUGCUAUUCACAUUUUUGAAUCGGGACAAAUGUGGAGUGAUUCAGAAGAAAAACGUUUGCAACACAUCCAUUCCAGAGUGCUGUGACAGAUAAAACUGACACGGUUGAUGAGGACACAGUCAAAGCUUUAAAAGACCGUGCGAUAAAGCAGUCUUCAAUUACUAAGGUGUCUAAAUUGCAAGAAGAAGUGACCCUCCACUUAAACAUGUGACAUCUAAACUGUUUUGUGUUUUGGUUCAGCUUUUUAUAGGUUUAUCUUAAGUUGGUUAAAGGCGCAGUGCACAAUUUUUGAAAGCCAAUGUUAACAUUUGAAAUUACCUAAACAAAUAUGCCUCUACCCCAGUGUUUCUCAAACUUUUUCACCCCAAGGACCACUUUAUCUUCUAAAUUUUUUCUGAGGAUCACCUAACAGAAUCCCACUCUAACACUCCCCCAAAAAACAACAAAAUAGGAAGGAUAAGCUAAGUUUAAGUUUAAUAUGCAACUGUUUCAAGUCAAAAACUAAUUUAAAAACAAAUGCAAUGCUAUGUUCAGAAAUUAUUAUACGAAUUUUAUUUCAUUUGAAAAAGUAAAUGUGAAAUGAGUUGCAGCUUAAUAUGAACAACAAACUGCA